rnacentral:rRNA from 1 species
AGCGAACGCUGGCGGCAGGCUUAACACAUGCAAGUCGAGCGGCCACUUCGGUGUCAGCGGCAGACGGGUGAGUAACACGUGGGAACGUACCCUUCGGUUCGGAAUAACGCUGGGAAACUAGCGCUAAUACCGGAUACGCCCUUUUGGGGAAAGGUUUACUGCCGAAGGAUCGGCCCGCGUCUGAUUAGCUAGUUGGUGGGGUAAUGGCCUACCAAGGCGACGAUCAGUAGCUGGUCUGAGAGGAUGAGCCGCCACACUGGGACUGAGACACGGCCCAGACUCCUACGGGAGGCAGCAGUGGGGAAUAUUGGACAAUGGGCGCAAGCCUGAUCCAGCCAUGCCGCGUGAGUGAUGAAGGCCUUAGGGUUGUAAAGCUCUUUUGUCCGGGACGAUAAUGACGGUACCGGAAGAAUAAGCCCCGGCUAACUUCGUG